rnacentral:rRNA from 1 species
CCUACGGGUGGCAGCAGUGAGGAAUAUUGGUCAAUGGGCGCGAGUCUGAACCAGCCAAGUAGCGUGAAGGAUGACUGCUCUAUGGGUUGUAAACUUCUUUUAUACAGGAAUAAAGUGAGGUACGUGUGCCUGUUUGUAAGUACUUUAUGAAUAAGGAUCGGCUAAUUCCGUGCCAGCAGCCGCGGUAAUACGGAGGAUCCGAGCGUUAUCCGGAUUUAUUGGGUUUAAAGGGUGCGUAGGCGGGUUGUUAAGUUAGAUGUGAAAUGUUGCGGCUCAACCGUAAAAUUGCAAUUGAUACUGGUGGUCUUGAGAACAGUUGAGGUAGGCGGAAUUCGUGGUGUAGCGGUGAAAUGCUUAGAGAUCAUGAAGAACACCGAUUGCGAAGGCAGCUUACUAAACU